AUGCAAGACUCUACACUUGCCCUUGUUGAAUUUCAUCAAGUUUCUCCCUGCCCAACUCUCCAGCCUGUCCAGGUCUCACUGAAUGGCAACACAGCCUUCUGGUGUGUCAGCCACUCCUUCCAAUUUAGUAUCACCACCCAUUUGCUGCUGGCAUUUCCAUCAUUCUAUUUCCCAUCUCUCAGUUUUCCAUUUAGUUCUACACUCUCAGAAAAGCGCUUUCCCUGGAGUCCACUAAAGUUACUUUUUCUGAAGGAAUUACAUCCUUUAAAAGAAGAGAACCAAACAAAAACAUCUAGUAAAACUGGGACUUCUUAUCUGACCUCCUGUGACAUCUAAAGCCACAGAUGUGCUCAGAAUCUGGCAUGCCUUUUCCUGUGCCCUGCUCCCGAGCUGGCAUGAAGAACAUGAAGCCUAAAUAGUGUGUUCCAGUGGUCAAUAGAAACGUGGUCAUAUGGUCCGCCUCAUCUUCUUUGUUUUGGAAAGGUGAGGCAUUUGGCUGCAGCUUGGGCCAGUAAUAACCAUAGGCUUUGAUAGAAGAGAGCUCAAAAACUUUA
rnacentral:lncRNA from 14 species